rnacentral:rRNA from 1 species
CCUACGGGAGGCAGCAGUAGGGAAUAUUGCUCAAUGGGGGAAACCCUGAAGCAGCAACGCCGCGUGGAGGAUGAAGGUUUUCGGAUUGUAAACUCCUUUUGUUAGAGAAGAAAAUGACAGUACCUGACCAAGAAGCCCCGGCUAACUACGUGCCAGCAGCCGCGGUAAUACGUAGGGGGCAAGCGUUAUCCGGAUUUACUGGGUGUAAAGGGAGCGUAGGCGGACUGUUAAGUCAGCGGUAAAAGCCCGGGGCUCAACCCCGGCGAGCCGUUGAAACUGGCUGUCUUGAGAUGUCGAGAGGUAUGCGGAAUGCGCAGUGUAGCGGUGAAAUGCUUAGAUAUUGCGCAGAACUCCGAUUGCGAAGGCAGCAUACCGGCGGCGAUCUGACGCUGAGGCACGAAAGCGUGGGUAUCGAACAGGAUUAGAUACCCCUGUAGUC